rnacentral:rRNA from 1 species
AAGUUCCUACGGGGCGCAGCAGUGGGGAAUAUUGGGCAAUGGGGGAAACCCUGAAGCAGCAACGCCGCGUGGAGGAUGAAGGUUUUAGGAUUGUAAACUCCUUUUGUUAGAGAAGAUUAUGACGGUAUCUAACGAAUAAGCACCGGCUAACUCCGUGCCAGCAGCCGCGGUAAUACGGAGGGUGCAAGCGUUACUCGGAAUCACUGGGCGUAAAGAGUGCGUAGGCGGGGUAAUAAGUCAGAUGUGAAAUCCUGUAGCUUAACUACAGAACUGCAUUUGAAACUGUUACUCUGGAGUGUGGGAGG